rnacentral:rRNA from 1 species
UUUUUUGUAAAUGAAUGAUGGUGACUUAAACCCUCACCAGAGUACCAAUUGGAGGGCAAGUCUGGUGCCAGCAGCCGCGGUAAUUCCAGCUCCAAUAGCGUAUAUUAAACUUGUUGCAGUUAAAAAGCUCGUAGUUGAAUUUCAGCGUUUCGCGUGUGCCUCUUUUGGCCCAUCUCGUCUCGCUUUUUUUAUUACUUUGAGAAAAUUAGAGUGUUUCAAGCAGGCUUUUGUCUUGAAUACUUGAGCAUGGAAUAAUAGAGUAGGACCUUGGUUCUAUUUUGUUGGUUUUGUUACCUUGGUAAUGGUUAAUAGGAACGGUUGGGGGCAUUCGUAUUUAACUGUCAGAGGUGAAAUUCUUAGAUUUGUUAAAGACGAACUACUGCGAAAGCAUUUGCCAAG